AUUGAACGCUGGCGGCAUGCCUUACACAUGCAAGUCGAACGGUAACAGGUCUUCGGAUGCUGACGAGUGGCGAACGGGGGAGUAAUACAUCGGAACGUGCCCGAUCGUGGGGGAUAACGAGGCGAAAGCUUUGCUAAUACCGCAUACGAUCUACGGAUGAAAGCGGGGGAGCUUCGGACCUCGCGCGGACGGAGCGGCCGGUGGCAGAUUAGGUAGUUGGUGGGGUAAAAGCUUACCAAGCCAACGAUGUGUAGCUGGUCUGAGAGGAGGAUCAGCGACACUGGAGCGGAUACAAGGUUCAGACUACGACGGGAGGCAGCAGGAGGGAAGCUGGCGCAAUGGGCGAAAGUCUGACGGAGCAACGGCGCGCGAGAGAUGAAGGUCUUCGGAUCGUAAAACUCGGUUAUGAGGGAAGAACAGAUGGGGAAGUAACUGUGCACAGCUUGACGGUACCUAAUCAGAAAGCCACGGCUAACUACGUG
rnacentral:rRNA from 1 species